CUACGGGGCGCUCCAGUGAGGAAUAUUGCACAAUGGGGGGAACCCUGAUGCAGCAACGCCGCGUGGAGGAUGACGCAUUUCGGUGUGUAAACUCCUUUUAUAUGUCAAGAAAAUGACGGUAGCAUAUGAAUAAGCACCGGCUAACUCCGUGCCAGCAGCCGCGGUAAUACGGAGGGUGCAAGCGUUACUCGGAAUCACUGGGCGUAAAGGACGCGUAGGCGGGUUGGAAAGUCAGGUGUGAAAUCCUACAGCUUAACUGUAGAACUGCACUUGAAACUUCUAAUCUAGAGUAUGGGAGGGGGAGAUGGAAUUAGUGGUGUAGGGGUAAAAUCCAUAGAUAUCACUAGGAAUACCUAAAGCGAAGGCGAUCUCCUGGAACAUUACUGACGCUAAGGCGUGAAAGCGUGGGGAGCAAACAGGAUUAGAUCCCGCGUAGUC
rnacentral:rRNA from 1 species